rnacentral:rRNA from 1 species
CCUACGGGAGGCUGCAGUGAGGAAUAUUGGUCAAUGGACGAGAGUCUGAACCAGCCAAGUAGCGUGAAGGAUGACUGCCCUAUGGGUUGUAAACUUCUUUUAUAAAGGAAUAAAACGAGGCACGCGUGCCUUUUUGCAUGUACUUUAUGAAUAAGGAUCGGCUAACUCCGUGCCAGCAGCCGCGGUAAUCCGGAGGAUCCGAGCGUUUUCCGGUUUUAUUGGGUUUAAAGGGCGCGUAGAUGGGCUGUUAAGUCAGUUGUGAAAGUUUGCGGCUCAACCGUAAAAUUGCAAUUGAUACUGGCAGGCUUGAGUACAGUUGAGGUAGGCGGAAUUCGUGGUGUAGCGGUGAAAUGCUUAGAUAUCACGAAGAACCCCGAUUGCGAAGGCAGCUUGCUAAACUGUGACUGACAUUGAUGCUCGAAAGUGUGGGUAUCAAACAGGAUUAGAUACCCUAGUAGUC